AUCCAGCUGACGAGUCCCAAAUAGGAUAAAACGCGCGUCCUGGAU
rfam:Schistosoma rodhaini strain Burundi genome assembly, scaffold: SROB_scaffold0007102